rnacentral:rRNA from 1 species
AUUGAACGCUGGCGGCAGGCCUAACACAUGCAAGUCGAACGAGUGGCGGACGGGUGAGUAAUGUCUGGGAAACUGCCUGAUGAAGGGGGAUAACUACUGGAAACGGUAGCUAAUACCGCAUACCCUCAGAUUUGCCCAGAUGGGAUUAGCUGGUUGGUGGGGUAACGGCUCACCAGGGCGAUGACCCCUAGCUGGUCUGAGAGGAGGACCAGCCACACUGGACUGGAGACACGGUCCAGACCCCUACGGGAGGAAGCAGUGGGGAAUAUUGCACAAUGGGCGCAAGCCGGAGGCAGCAAUGCCGCGGGUAUGAAGAAGGCCUUCGGGUGGUAAAGUACUUUAAGCGGGGAGGCGUUACCCGCAGAAGAAGCACCGGCUAACUCCGUGCCAGCAGCCGCGGUAAUAC